CGAAUCCUGAAGUGUUCGUCAUUUGAACAUCAGUUUUGACCGAACAUAAUUAUCGUAGGGAGUCUAAAUUCCGUGCUUGAUGGCAAGCCCUUUAGAGGGGACGUCAGAUAGGAUGGAUUGGACACCCACCUGCUGAGUGCGGGUUCAAAACGAUUCCACUAUGACGGCACGUUCGGGAUUCGU
rnacentral:other from 1 species